UGCCAGCAGCCGCGGUAACACGUAGGGGGCAAGCGUUGUCCGGAUUUAUUGGGCGUAAAGAGCUCGUAGGUGGCUGAGUAAGUCGGAUGUCAAAUCCCCAGGCUCAACCUGGGACACCACCCGAUACUGCUCUGGCUAGAGUCCGGUAGGGGAGCGUGGAAUUUCUGGUGUAGCGGUGAAAUGCGCAGAUAUCAGAAGGAACACCAGCGGCGAAGGCGGCGCUCUGGGCCGGUACUGACGCUGAGGAGCGAAAGCGUGGGGAGCGAACAGGAUUAGAUA
rnacentral:rRNA from 1 species